UGGGGAAUUUUGCGCAAUGGGCGAAAGCCUGACGCAGCAACGCCGCGUGCGGGAUGAAGGCUCUCGGGUCGUAAACCGCUUUCAGCAGGGAUGAAAUUGACAGUACCUGCAGAAGAAGCCCCGGCUAAAUACGUGCCAGCAGCCGCGGUAAUACGUAUGGGGCAAGCGUUAUCCGGAUUCAUUGGGCGUAAAGAGCGCGUAGGCGGAUUGUUAAGUCAGAUGUGAAAACUGGGGGCUCAACCCGCAGCCUGCAUCUGAAACUGGCAGUCUUGAGUCUGGUAGAGGAGUGUGGAAUUCCCAGUGUAGCGGUGAAAUGCGCAGAUAUUGGGAGGAACACCAGUGGCGAAGGCGGCACUCUGGGCCACGACUGACGCUGAGGCGCGAAAGCUAGGGGAGCAAACAGG
rnacentral:rRNA from 1 species